UUCGGUACAUCGGUGACAGGUGGUGCAUGGUUGUCGUCAGCUCGUGUCGUGAGAUGUUGGGUUAAGUCCCGCAACGAGCGCAACCCCUACGUUUAGUUGCUAACGCGUGAAGGCGAGCACUCUAGACGAACUGCCGUUGACAAAACGGAGGAAGGUGGGGAUGACGUCAAAUCAUCAUGCCCCUUAUGUUCUGGGCUACACACGUGCUACAAUGGCCGGUACAGACGGACGCAAAGCCGCGAGGUGGAGCAAAUCCUAAAAAGCCGGUCUCAGCUCGGAUUGCAGGCUGCAAUUCGCCUGCAUGAAGUCGGAAUCGCUAGUAAUCGCAGGUCAGCAUACUGCGGUGAAUACGUUCCCGGGCCUU
rnacentral:rRNA from 1 species